rnacentral:tRNA from 1 species
UGAGAUAUGGUGUAAUGGCAACACAGCAGAUUUUGGUUCUGCUAUUCAAGGUUCAAAUUCUUGUAUCUCAACAA